UGAGUACGAGAUGCUACGGCAUCGAAGCAGUCUAUGUCAUACUUCCAAGAAAAGCUUGCACUGUCAGAAACAGAUAAUGCCUGUACCAUAACCGACACAGGUGGGUAGGUAGAGUAUACUAAGGGGCGCGAGAUAACUCUCUCUAAGGAACUCGGCAAAAUGACUCCGUAACUUCGGGAGAAGGAGUGCCUUAUUUUUAAGGUUGCAAUAACAAGAUCCAAGCAACUGUUUACCAAAAACACAGGUCUCCGCUAAGUCGUAAGACGAUGUAUGGGGGCUGACGCCUGCCCAGUGCCAGAAGGUUAAAGAAGUCGGUUAGCAUUCGCGAAGCUGGUAACUGAAGCCCUGGUGAACGGCGGCCGUAACUAUAACGGUCCUAAGGUAGCGAAAUUCCUUGUCGGGUAAGUUCCGACCCGCACGAAAGGCGUAAUGAUUUGGAUACUGUCUCGGAGAGGGGCUCGGUGAAAUAGACUUGUCUGUGAAGAUGCGGACUACCUGCACCUGGACAGAAAGACCCUAUGAAGCUUUACUGUAACUUGAAAUUGAAAUUGGACUUUAUUUGCGCAGUAUAGGUGGGAGGCGUUGAAAAUAUUCUUGCGGGAAUAUUGGAGCCAUCAGUGAGAUACCACUCUUGUAAUGUUAGAUUUCUAACUUUAUAUCAUUAUCUGGUUAAAGAACAGUUUCAGGCGGGCAGUUUGACUGGGGCGGUCGCCUCCCAAAUGGUAACGGAGGCGCACAAAGGUUUCCUCUGAACGGGUAGAAAUCGUAUCUAGAGUGUAAAGGCAUAAGGAAGCUUGACUGUGAGACCUACAAGUCGAGCAGGGACGAAAGUCGGUCUUAGUGAUCUGACGGUGCUGAGUGGAAAGGCCGUCACUCAACGGAUAAAAGUUACUCUAAGGAUAACAGGCUGAUCUCCCCCAAGAGUUCACAUCGACGGGGAGGUUUGGCACCUCGAUGUCGGCUCAUCGCAUCCUGGGGCGGUAGUACGUCCCAAGGGUUGGGCUGUUCGCCCAUGAAAGCGGUACGCGAGCUGGGUUCAGAACGUCGUGAGACAGUUCGGUCCAUAUCCGGUGUAGGCGUUAGAAUAUUGAGAGGAGCCUUCUUUAGUACGAGAGGACCGAGAAGGACAUACCUCUGGUGUACCAGUUAUCGUGCCAACGGUAAACGCUGGGUAGCUAUGUAUGGAGUGGAUAACCGCUGAAAGCAUCUAAGUGGGAAGCCCACCUCAAGAUAAG
rnacentral:rRNA from 1 species